rnacentral:rRNA from 1 species
GACGAACGCUGGCGGCGUGCUUAACACAUGCAAGUCGAACGGUCUCCAUCCCGUGGCAACACGGGGGAAGAGAUAGUGGCGAACGGGUGAGUAACACGUGAGAAACCUGUCCUGGUCUCUGGGAUAACAGUCGGAAACAACUGCUAAUACCGGAUGCCGUCGGAGCGUCGCAUGGCGCGCUGACGAAAGGGUUACUGGAUCAGGAGGGUCUCGCGGCCUAUCAGCUUGUUGUGGGUAACGGCCUACCAAGGCAUCGACGGGUAGCUGGUCUGAGAGGAUGAUCAGCCACACUGGGACUGAGACACGGCCCAGACUCCUACGGGAGGCAGCAGUGGGGAAUCUUGCGCAAUGGGCGAAAGCCUGACGCAGCAACGCCGCGUGC